ACUGGCAACUUGGAGAAGUGGCAAGUCUUCCAGUAUGGGGAGCAAACAGCUAUGGGUCAAGCCCGAUACCUUUAAGAGAAGUCUUAUUGUGAGGGCGAGUUGUAUAACACCAUAGGGCUGGCCGUCCCAUAUGAAAAGAUUUUAUUAGAAUUGAAUGAAACUUUGUUUAUAUAUUGAUAAUGACAGUAUAUAUAUCGUGUCUUGACUAAUUGCGUGCCAGCAGUCGCGGUAAUACGUAAGAGACUAGUGUUAUUCAUCUUAAUUAGGAUUCAGAUUUAUCGGAAAAGAUAAUACCUUUAUUUAAUAAAUAUCCUAUCAUAGGACAAAAAUAUGAAGACUUUAAAGAUUUUGAGAAAGUCGCUAUUUUGAUGGAAAAUCGUGUUCAUUUAACUACAGCUGGAGUAGAUGAGAUACGAAGUAUUAAAGUAAAUAUGAAUAAAGGUAGAGAGUUCAAUUAAAUCGAUUAUUAAUUUGUACGACAAAUCUGUUUAGUUACAGUUUGUGCCGAACUGUAAUGGCCAUUGUAAUGGCCAUGUUAAAGGGUACCCAGACGGUCUAUAUAGCUUAUAAAAUGUUAGUAUAAGACUAGAGUUUUAUGUAAGAGGGCAGUACUUGAGGAGGAGAGAUGAAAUUUCGUGAUACCAAAGGGACUCUGUAAAGGCGAAGGCAGCCCUCUAUGUAAAAACUGACGUUGAAGGACGAAGGCACAGAGAACAAACAGGAUUAGAUACCCAAGUAGUCUUUGCAGUAAAUGAUGAAUGCCAUAGGUUAGAUAUAUAGUCUCCCUGAACAGAUAUCUGGUCUAUUAUAAAUGAAAGUGUAAGCAUUUCACCUCAAGAGUAAUGUG
rnacentral:rRNA from 1 species